GUAGUGAUAAGGACAAGAGAAUCAAGGUAAAGGGACCUGUGCGAAUGCCCACAAAGGUUCUUAACAUUACCACUAGGAAGUCUCCCUGUGGAGAAGGCACAAAUAUAUGGGAUAGGUUUGAGCUGCGGGUUCACAAGCGUGUGAUUGACCUUUUUAGCUCCUCAAAUGUUGUCAAGCAGAUCACCUCUAUCACUAUCGAACCUGGUGUUGAGGUUGAGGUCACCAUUGCUGAUUCUUAGAAUCUUCAUUGUUUUCAUUAGGUUGUUGAAUUACCUGAUUAUCAGUUUUAAGUAUAUUAGUUGUUUGGAAUUUCUUUUGUGUUUGUCUUAAUUUCGGGUUAAUGUUCGCAGACGAAAUGUAUUAGAGAUUUUCUUUUGUUCCAACUAUAGUUUUGCAGUUAAAAGAAGAUACUAUUUGAUAUUCAGAACAGAAUGUGCGUUUGUUA